rnacentral:miRNA from 1 species
AGGGCCAGCGCGCUGCACGUCG